GCUGGCGGCAGGCCUAACACAUGCAAGUCGAGCGGUAGCACAGAGAGCUUGCUCUCGGGUGACGAGCGGCGGACGGGUGAGUAAUGUCUGGGAAACUGCCUGAUGGAGGGGGAUAACUACUGGAAACGGUAGCUAAUACCGCAUAAUGUCGCAAGACCAAAGUGGGGGACCUUCGGGCCUCAUGCCAUCAGAUGUGCCCAGAUGGGAUUAGCUAGUAGGUGGGGUAACGGCUCACCUAGGCGACGAUCCCUAGCUGGUCUGAGAGGAUGACCAGCCACACUGGAACUGAGACACGGUCCAGACUCCUACGGGAGGCAGCAGUGGGGAAUAUUGCACAAUGGGCGCAAGCCUGAUGCAGCCAUGCCGCGUGUGUGAAGAAGGCCUUCGGGUUGUAAAGCACUUUCAGCGGGGAGGAAGGCGGUAAGGUUAAUAACCUCAUCGAUUGACGUUACCCGCAGAAGAAGCACCGGCUAACUCCGUGCCAGCAGCCGCGGUAAUACGGAGGGUGCAAGCGUUAAUCGGAAUUACUGGGCGUAAAGCGCACGCAGGCGGUCUGUCAAGUCGGAUGUGAAAUCCCCGGGCUCAACCUGGGAACUGCAUUCGAAACUGGCAGGCUAGAGUCUUGUAGAGGGGGGUAGAAUUCCAGGUGUAGCGGUGAAAUGCGUAGAGAUCUGGAGGAAUACCGGUGGCGAAGGCGGCCCCCUGGACAAAGACUGACGCUCAGGUGCGAAAGCGUGGGGAGCAAACAGGAUUAGAUACCCUGGUAGUCCACGCCGUAAACGAUGUCGAUUUGGAGGUUGUGCCCUUGAGGCGUGGCUUCCGGAGCUAACGCGUUAAAUCGACCGCCUGGGGAGUACGGCCGCAAGGUUAAAACUCAAAUGAAUUGACGGGGGCCCGCACAAGCGGUGGAGCAUGUGGUUUAAUUCGAUGCAACGCGAAGAACCUUACCUGGUCUUGACAUCCACAGAACUUUCCAGAGAUGGAUUGGUGCCUUCGGGAACUGUGAGACAGGUGCUGCAUGGCUGUCGUCAGCUCGUGUUGUGAAAUGUUGGGUUAAGUCCCGCAACGAGCGCAACCCUUAUCCUUUGUUGCCAGCGGUCCGGCCGGGAACUCAAAGGAGACUGCCAGUGAUAAACUGGAGGAAGGUGGGGAUGACGUCAAGUCAUCAUGGCCCUUACGACCAGGGCUACACACGUGCUACAAUGGCAUAUACAAAGAGAAGCGACCUCGCGAGAGCAAGCGGACCUCAUAAAGUAUGUCGUAGUCCGGAUUGGAGUCUGCAACUCGACUCCAUGAAGUCGGAAUCGCUAGUAAUCGUAGAUCAGAAUGCUACGGUGAAUACGUUCCCGGGCCUUGUACACACCGCCCGUCACACCAUGGGAGUGGGUUGCAAAAGAAGUAGGUAGCUUAACCUUCGGGAGGGCGCUUACCACUUUGUGAUUCAUGACUGGGGUGAAGUCGUAACAAGGUAACCGUAGGGGAACCUGCGGCUG
rnacentral:rRNA from 1 species